rnacentral:rRNA from 1 species
UACAGAGGUCCCGAGCGUUGUUCGGAUUCACUGGGCGUAAAGGGUGUGUAGGUGGCGCGCUAAGUCGGGUGUGAAAUUUCGGAGCUUAACUCCGAAACUGCAUUCGAUACUGCGGUGCUUGAGGACUGGAGAGGAGACUGGAAUUCAUGGUGUAGCAGUGAAAUGCGUAGAGAUCAUGAGGAAGACCAGUGGCGAAGGCGGGUCUCUGGACAGUUCCUGACACUGAGACACGAAGGCCAGGGGAGCAAACGGG